UGGACAGUAGCUCAGUAGUAGAGCUCCCGCUUCGUAUGAGGGGAGACCUGGGUUCGAUUUCCGGCUGCUUAC
rnacentral:tRNA from 1 species